UACGGAGGGAGCUAGCGUUGUUCGGAAUUACUGGGCGUAAAGCGCGCGUAGGCGGCUUUGCAAGUCGGGUGUGAAAUCCCCAGGCUUAACCUGGGAACUGCAUUCGAGACUGCAUUGCUAGAGUAUGGGAGAGGGAAGUGGAAUUUCAGGUGUAGCGGUGAAAUGCGUAGAUAUCUGAAGGAACAUCAGUGGCGAAAGCGACUUCCUGGACCAAUACUGACGCUCAUGUGCGAAAGCGUGGGGAGCAAACAGG
rnacentral:rRNA from 1 species